rnacentral:rRNA from 1 species
UACGUAGGGCGCGAGCGUUGUCCGGAAUUAUUGGGCGUAAAGAGCUCGUAGGCGGCCUGUUGCGUCCGCUGUGAAAUCCCAGGGCUCAACCCUGGGCGUGCAGUGGAUACGGGCAGGCUGGAGGCAGGCAGGGGAGAACGGAAUUCCGCGUGUAGCAGUGAAAUGCGUAGAGAUGCGGAGGAACACCGAUGGCGGAGGCAGCCCCCUGGGUCGACACUGACGCUCAGGCACGAAAGCGUGGGGAGCAAACAGG